UACGUAGGGUGCAAGCGUUGUCCGGAAUUAUUGGGCGUAAAGAGCUUGUAGGCGGUUUGUCGCGUCUGCUGUGAAAUUUCGGGGCUCAACCCCGAACUUGCAGUGGGUACGGGCAGACUAGAGUGUGGUAGGGGAGACUGGAAUUCCUGGUGUAGCGGUGAAAUGCGCAGAUAUCAGGAGGAACACCGAUGGCGAAGGCAGGUCUCUGGGCCAUAACUGACGCUGAGAAGCGAAGGCAUGGGGAGCGAACAGG
rnacentral:rRNA from 1 species